CGCGGUAAUACGAAGGGUGCAAGCGUUACGCGGAAUUACUGGGCGUAAAGCGUGCGUAGGUGGUCUGGCAAGUCCGAUGUGAAAGCCCUGGGCUCAACCGCGGGACUGCAGGGGAUACUGGGGGGCUGGAGACAGGUAGAGGCGAGCGGAAUUCCGGGUGUAGCGGUGGAAUGCGUAGAGAUCCGGAAGAACACCAGAGGCGAAGGCGGCUCGCUGGACCUUGUCUGACGCUGAGGUGCGAAAGCGUGGGGAGCGAA
rnacentral:rRNA from 1 species